rnacentral:rRNA from 1 species
GUGGGGAAUAUUGGACAAUGGGGGGAACCCUGAUCCAGCCAUGCCGCGUGUGUGAAGAAGGCCUUUUGGUUGUAAAGCACUUUAAGCGAGGAGGAGGCUACCGAGAUUAAUACUCUUGGAUAGUGGACGUUACUCGCAGAAUAAGCACCGGCUAACUCUGUGCCAGCAGCCGCGGUAAUACAGAGGGUGCAAGCGUUAAUCGGAUUUACUGGGCGUAAAGCGCGCGUAGGUGGCCAAUUAAGUCAAAUGUGAAAUCCCCGAGCUUAACUUGGGAAUUGCAUUCGAUACUGGUUGGCUAGAGUAUGGGAGAGGAUGGUAGAAUUCCAGGUGUAGCGGUGAAAUGCGUAGAGAUCUGGAGGAAUACCGAUGGCGAAGGCAGCCAUCUGACCUAAUACUGACACUGAGGUGCGAAAGCAUGGGGAGCAAACAGGAUUAGAAACCCUAGUAGUCC